UAAACAACAAUUUUCAACAAUGAUUAUAGAACAAAUGUUGGAAGCAAAAUCCAAUAAUCUGCAUUUAAUAAAUACCAUCAAGCUGCAUUCAAUAUUUAACACCCAACAUUCAAUAACCAAAUUUUGUUCAACAACCAAAUUCAUCAACUACAGGUUCAAUAGCACAAUAUUGCCAAAAACCACAACUAAUUUCCAAAGUUUAUCAUAACAACAACUUGAGUAUGAAUCCAGAAAAGAACCAAUGUAACACAAGAACUGAGAGAGCAGAAAAGAAAAGAAGCAAACACA
rnacentral:lncRNA from 1 species